UACGUAGGUGGCAAGCGUUGUUCGGAAUUACUGGGCGUAAAGCGCGCGUAGGCGGCUCUUCAAGUCAGGCGUGAAAGCCCCGGGCUUAACUCGGGAACUGCGCUUGAUACUGUCGAGCUAGAGUGUGGAAGGGGCGAUUGGAAUUCCGUGUGUAGCGGUGAAAUGCGUAGAUAUCAAGAGGAACACCUGCGGCGAAGGCGGGUUGCUGGGCCGACACUGACGCUGAUGCGCGAAAGCCAGGGGAGCGAACGGG
rnacentral:rRNA from 1 species